UCCACUCACUGUGGGCUCCACUCACUGUGGGCUCCACUCACUGUGGGCUCCACUCACUGUGGGGUUUGAACCACCGCAGAGAGACGAGUAUUUUCUGACGUUUUAAACAAACGGCUUUAGAUUAAAGUCUCAGACCCCAGCCUGACCUUGAAGUUGGUGGGAUCUAUCCGCAGCUGGUAGGCGUGCAGCGUCUGCAGCGGCGCCAGCGUGACGGUCAGCUGGCUGAUGUCCUGGGCGCCCUCGGCGAUGGCGAGGACGAUCUUCUUGCCGUGGGAGCAGAGGUGGGCGGAGCCAGGGCUGAUGUCCAGGUGGGAGAAAUACGUCUUGGUGCCGGGAUACGAAGCAAACAUCCUGCAGGACAGAAGAACGGGUCGAUGUCCAGGUCCAGACGGCGAGCCAAAGAUGGAUGGAAAUCAUUUAAAUCAUUUGAUAUAAUGUUCAUGUUUCAGUCAUGUUUUCACCACCUCAUCUGUAACUUUAUGAACGUAACAGUUCGAAUUAAAUAUUUCAACCACAAAUUAAUCAUUUAAUCUGCAAACUAAAUAUUUAGCUGCAAAUUAAUACAUUCAGAUUAUAAACUAAAGAUUUUCUAUAAAUGUGACAAAAACCAUCCCAGACUUGAACUAGGACAGCGGCUCAACGCUCCAUCACGUUGAGUCGGUGACGUUUGUCCUACCUGAGCAGAGCAUCAGAUCCGAUGUCUUCAGCC